CACCAAGCAAGCAAGUGCCACAAAGAAGGCCGCACUCGCUCGCGCUCCUUUGUGCCCUCCUCGUCGCCGCUCUCCUCCCCGGCGUCGAGUAGCUCACUGUCUCCCUUGAUCUCACCUGAUCAAGGAUGAAUCUGAAUGCUCAAGGAAGUUGAUGAUUACUGUAGCGAUUACUCUGUUACUCAGCUAUUCAGAACAUCAUCGACGCUGCAAUACAGCCACGGAACAGAACAACUUUCUCUAUUUAGCUACUGUCUGUCUAACUUUGAAUGGCUGAUACUGAAUGGUAAUUUAGGCACAUACUCAAUGGCUGACGUGAGUCAUAUUGAAGAGUGUCAUCUGACUUAUGUCAAGAUCUGAGCCUGUCAUUUGGUUGUGCUAUUUCUCUCUGAGUACUAGUUUGUAUUUGAUAUGAGUGAAGUGCAACAAAAUGGAAAUAUUGGGAAGAGUUUAUUUUAUUUUUUA